AUACGUAGGGGGCGAGCGUUGUCCGGAAUGAUUGGGCGUAAAGGGCGCGUAGGCGGCCCGGUAAGUCUGGAGUGAAAGUCCUGCUUUUAAGGUGGGAAUUACUUUGGAUACUGUCGGGCUUGAGUGCAGGAGAGGUAAGUGGAAUUCCCAGUGUAGCGGUGAAAUGCGUAGAGAUUGGGAGGAACACCAGUGGCGAAGGCGACUUACUGGACUGUAACUGACGCUGAGGCGCGAAAGUGUGGGGAGCAAACAGGAUUAGAUACCCUGGUAGUCCACACUGUAAACGAUGAAUGCUAGGUGUAGGGGGUAUCGACCCCUUCUGUGCCGCAGUUAACACAAUAAGCAUUCCGCCUGGGGAGUACGGCCGCAAGGUUGAAACUCAAAGGAAUUGACGGGG
rnacentral:rRNA from 1 species